GAACGCUGGCGGCGUGCCUAAUACCUGCAAGUCGAGCGAACAGACGAGGAGCUUGCUCCUCUGACGUUAGCGGCGGACGGGUGAGUAACACGUGGAUAACCUACCUAUAAGACUGGGAUAACUUCGGGAAACCGGAGCUAAUACCGGAUAAUAUAUUGAACCGCAUGGUUCAAUAGUGAAAGACGGUUUUGCUGUCACUUAUAGAUGGAUCCGCGCCGCAUUAGCUAGUUGGUAAGGUAACGGCUUACCAAGGCAACGAUGCGUAGCCGACCUGAGAGGGUGAUCGGUCACACUGGAACUGAGACACGGUCCAGACUCCUACGGGAGGCAGCAGUAGGGAAUCUUCCGCAAUGGGCGAAAGCCUGACGGAGCAACGCCGCGUGAGUGAUGAAGGUCUUCGGAUCGUAAAACUCUGUUAUUAGGGAAGAACAAAUGUGUAAGUAACUAUGCACGUCUUGACGGUACCUAAUCAGAAAGCCACGGCUAACUACGUG
rnacentral:rRNA from 1 species